AAGGGAACACCCAAAAGAGGAAGAAACGACCUGCGGCCAACUUGUACCACUACCUGUUCCAGCAGGUAAGACACUGCAAGCAUUCCUAAGAUUCCAUGGAAGCAAGAUGCAAAUAGACUGCUCAUGGCCCCAUUUCAAUCCUCAAAACAGACUUGGCUGUUUCAGUAGAGGACUCCAUCAUUACUGGGAGCAAGUAAAAGGUGCCGUCAUUUCACCUAGAAGGCACCUGCCACAGAUGCACACUGAUCAAGCAGGAGGGAAACAGUCUCCUCUGAAGACAAAGACUGGGCUGCACGUUCUGGCUCACUCCAGACAGAUGCAAACACCUGCCUGUUUCUUCUCUGCAGUCCGUAUUGCAUCAUGAACUUCUAGUGCC
rnacentral:lncRNA from 1 species